rnacentral:rRNA from 1 species
GUGGGGAAUAUUGGACAAUGGGGGGAACCCUGAUCCAGCCAUGCCGCGUGUGUGAAGAAGGCCUUUUGGUUGUAAAGCACUUUAAGCGAGGAGGAGGCUACCGAGAUUAAUACUCUUGGAUAGUGGACGUUACUCGCAGAAUAAGCACCGGCUAACUCUGUGCCAGCAGCCGCGGUAAUACAGAGGGUGCAAGCGUUAAUCGGAUUUACUGGGCGUAAAGCGCGCGUAGGUGGCCAAUUAAGUCAAAUGUGAAAUCCCCGAGCUUAACUUGGGAAUUGCAUUCGAUACUGGUUGGCUAGAGUAUGGGAGAGGAUGGUAGAAUUCCAGGUGUAGCGGUGAAAUGCGUAGAGAUCUGGAGGAAUACCGAUGGCGAAGGCAGCCAUCUGGCCUAAUACUGACACUGAGGUGCGAAAGCAUGGGGAGCACACAGGAUUAGAAACCCUGGUAGUCC